rnacentral:rRNA from 1 species
GGAGUGAAGAAGCCCCGCAGAUAUCGUCCUGGAACUGUUGCUCUUCGUGAAAUUCACAAGUAUCAGAAGGGGACCGAGUUGCUCAUAAGGAAACUACCUUUUCAGAGGCUGGUGAGGGAGAUUGCUCAAGUUUUCAAGAUUGAUCUACGCUUCCAGAGCCAUGCAGUGCUUGCUUUACAAGAGGCGGCGGAAGAAUACCUCGUGGGACUGUUUGAGGACACCAAUCUUUGUGCGGUCCAUGUGAAGCGUGUGACCGUAAUGUCCAAAGACGUUCAUCUACCUAGAAGGAUCCCUGGCGAGUGGCUGUAA